ACCAUAUCACAUUGAAACACCAGUUCUCAUUCAAUCAUCAAAGUUAAGCAACAUUGAGCCUUGUCAGUACCUAGAUGGGUGAUUGCUUGGGAAUAUCAAGUGAUGUAAG